GACGAACGCUGGCGGCGUGCCUAAUACAUGCAAGUCGAACGGGGUAAGCCUCUUCGGAGACUUACUUAGUGGCGAACGGGUGAGUAACGCGUGAGAAACCUACCUUUCAGUGGGGGACAACAGUUGGAAACGACUGCUAAUACCGCAUAACAUAUUUGGAAGGCAUCUUCUGGAUAUCAAAGUUUUAUGUGCUGAGAGAUGGUCUCGCGUCUGAUUAGCUAGAUGGCGGGGUAACGGCCUACCAAGGCGACGAUCAGUAGCCGGACUGAGAGGUUGAACGGCCACAUUGGGACUGAGAUACGGCCCAGACUCCUACGGGAGGCAGCAGUGGGGAAUAUUGGGCAAUGGGGGCAACCCUGACCCAGCAACGCCGCGUGAAGGAAGAAGGCUUUCGGGUUGUAAACUUCUUUUACCAGGGACGAAGAAAGUGACGGUACCUGGAGAAAAAGCCACGGCUAACUACGUG
rnacentral:rRNA from 1 species